AUUGAACGCUGGCGGCAGGCCUAACACAUGCAAGUCGAGCGGAUGAAGGGAGCUUGCUCCUGGAUUCAGCGGCGGACGGGUGAGUAAUGCCUAGGAAUCUGCCUGGUAGUGGGGGAUAACGUCCGGAAACGGGCGCUAAUACCGCAUACGUCCUGAGGGAGAAAGUGGGGGAUCUUCGGACCUCACGCUAUCAGAUGAGCCUAGGUCGGAUUAGCUAGUUGGUGGGGUAAAGGCCUACCAAGGCGACGAUCCGUAACUGGUCUGAGAGGAUGAUCAGUCACCCUGGAACUGGAACACGGUCAAGACUACUACGGGAGGCAGCAGUGGGGAAUAUUGGACAAUGGGGGAAAGCCUGAUCCAGCCAUGCCGCGUGUGUGAAGAAGGUCUUCGGAUUGUAAAGAACUUUAAGUUGGGAGGAAGGGCAGUAAGUUAAUACCUUGCUGUUUUGACGUUACCAACAGAAUAAGCACCGGCUAACUUCGUG
rnacentral:rRNA from 1 species